rnacentral:tRNA from 1 species
GGUUGUUUGGCCGAGCGGUUUAAGGCGCCUGAUUCAAGAAAUAUCUUGACCACCUGAAGUCAACUGCGGGAAUACUCAGGUAUCGUAAGAUGCAGAGUUCGAAUCUCUCUUAGCUAACCA